UACGGAGGGGGCUAGCGUUGUUCGGAAUUACUGGGCGUAAAGCGCGCGUAGGCGGCUUUGUAAGUUAGAGGUGAAAGCCCGGGAGCUCAACUCCGGAAUUGCCUUUAAGACUGCAUCGCUAGAAUCAUGGAGAGGUUAGUGGAAUUCCGAGUGUAGAGGUGAAAUUCGUAGAUAUUCGGAAGAACACCAGUGGCGAAGGCGACUAACUGGACAUGUAUUGACGCUGAGGUGCGAAAGCGUGGGGAGCAAACAGGG
rnacentral:rRNA from 1 species